rnacentral:rRNA from 1 species
UACGGAGGGUGCGAGCGUUGUCCGGAAUCAUUGGGCGUAAAGGGCGCGUAGGUGGCCCGACAAGUCACUGGUGAAAGCUCGACGCUCAACGUCGAGUCGGCCAGUGAUACUGUUGGGCUGGAGCACUGUAGAGGCUCAUGGAAUUCCGGGUGUAGCGGUGGAAUGCGUAGAGAUCCGGAAGAACACCGGUGGCGAAGGCGGUGAGCUGGGCAGUAGCUGACACUGAGGCGCGACAGCGUGGGGAGCAAACAGG